rnacentral:rRNA from 1 species
CCCGUCACAUCACGAAAGUGAGCUGUACUAGGAAGUCGCGCAGCUAACCGCAAGGAAGCGACGCGCCCAAGGUAUGGCCCAUGAUUGGGGUG